rnacentral:rRNA from 1 species
ACUACGAGCACCAGCUUAAAACCCAAAGGACCUGACGGUGCCUUAGAUCCCCCUAGAGGAGCCUGUUCUAGAACCGAUUAUCCCCGUUAAACCUCACCACUCCUAGCAACAUCAGCCUAUAUACCACCGUCGCCAGCUUACCCUGUGAAGGUAUAAAAGUAAGCACAAUGGGUACAACCCAGUACGUCAGGUCGAGGUGUAGCAAAUGGGGUGGGAAGAAAUGGGCUACAUUUUCUAUCGCAGAAUAAAACGGAUACGCAACAUGAAAAUUGAUGCUUGAAGGAGGAUUUAGUAGUAAAAGGGAA